rnacentral:rRNA from 1 species
AACUUUCAACAACGGAUCUCUUGGUUCUGGCAUCGAUGAAGAAACGCAGCGAAAUGCGAUAAGUAAUGUGAAUUGCAGAAUUCAGUGAAUCAUCGAAUCUUUGAACGCACAUUGCGCCCCUUGGUAUUCCGGGGGGCAUGCCUGUUCGAGCGUCAUUUC